AACACAUGCAAGUCGAGCGGUAAGGCCCUUCGGGGUACACGAGCGGCGAACGGGUGAGUAACACGUGGGUGAUCUGCCUCGCACUCUGGGAUAAGCCUGGGAAACUGGGUCUAAUACCGGAUAUGACCACGAAUCGCAUGGUUUGUGGUGGAAAGGUUUACUGGUGCGAGAUGGGCCCGCGGCCUAUCAGCUUGUUGGUGGGGUAACGGCCUACCAAGGCGACGACGGGUAGCCGGCCUGAGAGGGCGACCGGCCACACUGGGACUGAGACACGGCCCAGACUCCUACGGGAGGCAGCAGUGGGGAAUAUUGCACAAUGGGCGAAAGCCUGAUGCAGCGACGCCGCGUGAGGGAUGACGGCCUUCGGGUUGUAAACCUCUUUCGACAGGGACGAAGCGCAAGUGACGGUACCUGUAGAAGAAGCACCGGCCAACUACGUGCCAGCAGCCGCGGUAAUACGUAGGGUGCGAGCGUUGUCCGGAUU
rnacentral:rRNA from 1 species